AUUGAACGCUGGCGGCAUGCUUUACACAUGCAAGUCGGACGGCAGCACAGAGAAGCUUGCUUCUUGGGUGGCGAGUGGCGAACGGGUGAGUAACAUAUCGGAACGUACCGAGCAGUGGGGGAUAACUAAUCGAAAGAUUAGCUAAUACCGCAUAUCUUCUGAGGAAGAAAGCAGGGGACCAUUUGGCCUUGCGCUGUUUGAGCGGCCGAUAUCUGAUUAGCUAGUUGGUGGGGUAAAGGCCUACCAAGGCGACGAUCAGUAGCGGGUCUGAGAGGAUGAUCCGCCACACUGGGACUGAGACACGGCCCAGACUCCUACGGGAGGCAGCAGUGGGGAAUUUUGGACAAUGGGCGAAAGCCUGAUCCAGCCAUGCCGCGUGUCUGAAGAAGGCCUUCGGGUUGUAAAGGACUUUUGUCAGGGAAGAAAAGGGCGGGGUUAAUACCCCUGUCUGAUGACG
rnacentral:rRNA from 1 species